rnacentral:tRNA from 1 species
CAAAGGAAUGGCCGUCGUCAACGACUUCUGCUGGGAUAUCUU